UUCAACCAUAGCAAGAUUGUAUAGAGAAACACCAGAAUCCUCGAACAGACAUAAAAGCCAAAACGUUCGUGAGCAAUUGCCCAGAACAAAUAACGUAGGUGAACACCAAUCAGCCACACCCAAAACGGUAAAGCACAGGUAAACAUCACACAGUAGUGGAACUUACGCCGGAUUUAUAAGCAUUACUGACAGGUAAACAUUCGGCACACCAUGCAUAAUUAUCAGGCUUGUACUUUGAUGUGAUGUGCACCAGGAUCAACCAUUUUCAUUAGACACUUCAAAAAAAGGUACUCAAAUCCCCACAGCUGAAUGUAAUAUAACACAAUCAGAUGCAGCAAAGAGCAGGUACAAACGUAAAGGAAGCAAUUCAAAAAAAAUGAGAAUUAU
rnacentral:lncRNA from 1 species